rnacentral:lncRNA from 1 species
CUUGGCAGAGAGCGCCCUGGGAAAUGCGGAUGUAGAAGGUCACAAGAACAUCUCUCCUGGUUAUACAGCGUUCCAGGUGGGCUUUCAUGUGGUUGAGGAUAAUAUCAUUAGCACCAAAGGUGAAAAUCCAUGGAAGCUCAUCUUAUUUUAGCAGAAGAGUAGGAUGGGCCUCGUGGCACGAGUAAGCCAAACAAGGAAAAGGCAUUCACCAUCAACUGACUUCUCAUCUGUUUUUAAGAGGGAAAUCUGAGUUUUCAAGGAAAGCCAAAUACAGUUGCCAAGUUGCCAGUCAAAGAAACAAUGUCAACACCUGCUCAUAGAGAUGGAAUUCCUAACCCGGAAUAUUGCCCUUGAAUUACAAUGAGAAAAAGCGCCUCUUCAAGUGAGAUGGCAGACCACCUCAGGAUGGAAAUGUAUUUCUUCACCCCUCUGUCUACUUCCCUGUGACCUCCUGCAAAUAAGGGAGAGAUGAAGAGAAGAGCAGAAGAACAGCAGAAUGGAGUGGCAAAUAGACGAGGAGUGUCUGAACAUUGACAAGACUUUGGCUGGGGAUGGUCAGAGAGGAGAUUAGCUGCUAGACACCCACACUGCAGGGAAAGAUCAUUUUCCCACUCCAUCUCCCUUCCAGCUCCCCAUCCAUCUCACCAAGAGCCAGCUCCUCCGCUCAAUAAAACCUUACAUUCAUCUUUC